rnacentral:lncRNA from 1 species
AGGAAUUAACCAAGGAGCCCUCCAUUCAACAUCUUCAUCUUGGAGAUUCUGGAGUAUCUCUAUCCAUUUUUCUUCUGAAAUAUCAUCCCGUCUUGGCGUGGCCACCAAUUCUCCUAGAGGGGAGUAGCUAUCAGAGAAUACCCGAUAAGAGACCUUUUCGACUUUCCAGAAGUGGCUAUGGAACCAUGCCAAUAAGAGCUGCGCG